rnacentral:rRNA from 1 species
CCUACGGGUGGCAGCAGUAGGGAAUAUUGCUCAAUGGGGGAAACCCUGAAGCAGCAACGCCGCGUGGAGGAUGAAGGUUUUCGUAUUGUAAAGCCCUUUUAUCAGGGAAGAAAAUGACGGUACCUGAGGAAUAAGCCCCGGCUAACUACGUGCCAGCAGCCGCGGUAAUACGGAGGGUGCAAGCGUUACUCGGAUUCACUGGGUGUAAAGGGAGCGUAGGCGGGAGUGCAAGUCUGAUGUGAAAUCCUGUGGCUUAACCAUCGAACUGCUGUUGAAACUGUAGUUCUGGAGUACAGGAGAGGUAAGUGGAAUGCCUGGUGGAGCGGUGAAAUGCGUAGAUAUUAAGAGGAAUACUGAUUGCGAAGGCGGCCUGCUGGACUGUAACUGACGUUGAGGCGCGAAAGCGUGGGGAGCAAACAGGAUUAGAUACCCCAGUAGUC